CCUACGGGAGGCAGCAGUGAGGAAUAUUGGUCAAUGGACGAGAGUCUGAACCAGCCAAGUAGCGUGAAGGAUGACUGCCCUAUGGGUUGUAAACUUCUUUUAUAUGGGAAUAAAAUGUUCCACGUGUGGGAUUUUGUAUGUACCAUAUGAAUAAGGAUCGGCUAACUCCGUGCCAGCAGCCGCGGUAAUACGGAGGAUCCGAGCGUUAUCCGGAUUUAUUGGGUUUAAAGGGAGCGUAGGUGGAUUGUUAAGUCAGUUGUGAAAGUUUGCGGCUCAACCGUAAAAUUGCAGUGGAAACUGGCAGUCUUGAGUACAGUAGAGGUGGGCGGAAUUCGUGGUGUAGCGGUGAAAUGCUUAGAUAUCACGAAGAACUCCGAUUGCGAAGGCAGUUCACUGGACUGCAACUGACACUGAGGCUCGAAAGUGUGGGUAUCAAACAGGAUUAGAUACCCCUGUAGUC
rnacentral:rRNA from 1 species